AGCGAACGCUGGCGGCAGGCCUAAUACAUGCAAGUCGAGCGGCCACUUCGGUGGCAGCGGCGGACGGGUGAGUAACGCGUGGGAACCUGCCUUUAGGUUCGGAAUAACGCCUCGAAAGGGGUGCUAAUACCGGAUAAUGUCUUCGGACCAAAGAUUUAUCGCCUUUAGAUGGGCCCGCGUUGGAUUAGCUAGUUGGUGGG
rnacentral:rRNA from 1 species